ACUCCACGUCUAGCCUGAUCCUUUUAAUUGCAGAGUUUUUGCGUCUUCCCGGUGGAAAACUUCGACCCGUAGCUGUGCCAACGCAAUCCGCCCUAGUGUUACCGGUGUGACGGAAUAUCAGGACGGUUGUUUCGGACUAACGUUCACAUUGCGAGAUAACGCGAGAUAUCAUGUUUGGAAGAUUACGAAGGCAUCUUCGUCCAUACUCCGAACCUGCGUGCGAGGUUCAUGGUCCACAGUAGUAGUCAUGUCGACAAGCAGCAGCUUUCUCUUGUCGCCUGUUUGUUAAGGUUGUGCCGUUACGUGACAUUAUGUUGGGACGAACCAGGAUAUUUGUGCUUGACGUCCGUUACGUGCUCAGUGCCAGUGGUAACGACGGCGACUGUUCAGUGGACUCGCCUGAGGAAAUAUCCUAGGUUGGUGAACCCUCUCAGCUUGGGGAAAAUUCUGUCCUUCGUUUCAACAGAUUCCGUGGCAGGCGCAUACAUUUGGAAUCGGCACUUAGCGGUAGCAUGGCCGAGUGGACAGAAGCAUCUGCUCGUUGGUGGAUACCCCAAGGUCGUGUUGAAGACUGGGUGGUAAUGGGUUCGAACCUUCCCAUCUUCCACUCGUUCCUGCUGCCCUCUCUCCAUCUGUCCACAUCUGUAUGUCGCUCAUAGCCACAGCUGCUUCACCGCACCAGCACGGAAUAAAAAGGUAUCUGCACCAACCCGGAGAAGUUGAUGCAUUCUUCCAGGAGCAUGGCCUGGCCGCGAGGCAUCCACAGCAGACUACCAUCGCUGGGCUCUCCAUCCCGGUCGUGUCUGGCCACAUCAACAACAUGGACCAUGCGCAGCAAGUUCACCUUCGACCAUCAGAGGGGCCCCGACUGUGUGGUACCGUCGUUACCAUUAUGAAGGACGGGAGGCCCCAGUUUCCUUGUGGGGCCGUGUACGAAACAGCUGUCUCGACCGAACAGUUCUACAGCCCAGUCGUCUCGACACUGUCAGACGACAAAAGCACCGCCUUUCUGUUGCAUGGAUCCCAGUGACGGAUGUACGUACUCUUCAUAUUGACAACCUGCCCCGGUCUUGAAGCUGCGGGGACCCAGUCGAUAGGUUCCCGUGGGUUGUCAGAAUGGGGAUAUUGCCACAGGAAACGUAGGUAUGAAGGUGGAGCAACGCCCAAUCCCUGGGCCCCUUACCCAACAAAGUGUCACACUGGGUUGGACAGUGAUGAGUGAAGAGGUUAUAGGUGUGUCAGUCAUCUGCGUAGGAGCAAUGGUGCUUAUAUGAAAGUCCUCCACAUCACUGUGCACCCUGCUGCGAACAUUGUGUGCCCGGUUAAGGGAGCAAACAUGUAAACAAUAACAAGUGGUUCUAAACUAUUUUGCUCCUUACAACCCUUUUGCCACUCAUCAAAGUAUUGACUCAAAUGUUAUGCAUACAUAAAAAUUGAAGGUAU